rnacentral:misc_RNA from 1 species
GAAAUGCGAUAAGUAAUGUGAAUUGCAGAAUUCAGUGAAUCAUCGAAUCUUUGAACGCAUCUUGCGCUCCUUGGUAUUCCUUGGAGCAUGCCUGUUUGAGUAUCAUGAAAUCUUCAAAGUAAAUCUUUUGUUAACUCAAUUGGUUUCUACUUUGGUAUUGGAGGUCUUUGCAGCUUCACACCUGCUCCUCUUUGUUCAUUAGCUGGAUCUCAGUGUUAUGCUUGGUUCCACUCGGCGUGAUAAGUUAUCUAUCGCUGAGGACACUGUAAAAGGUGGCCAAGGUAAAUGCAGAUGAAACGCUUCUAAUAGUCCAUUGACUUGGACAAUACUUUUAUGAUCUGAUCUCAAAUCAGGUAGGACUACACGCUGAACUUAAGC